rnacentral:rRNA from 1 species
GUCUACGGCCGUGCACCCUGAACGUGCCCAAUCUCAUCUGAUCUCAGAAGCUAAGCCAGGGUUAGGCCUGGUUAGUACCUGGAUGGAAGACCAUCUAGGAAUACCAGAUGCUGUAGGAU